AUUAGUUUAUUAAAAUAUUAAUUUUGGAGAUUAAAGUAAAAGGAUUCUUUAUUCUUGA
rnacentral:tRNA from 1 species